rnacentral:rRNA from 1 species
ACCUCUGGUGUUCCGGUUGUGUCGCCAGACGCAUUGCCGGGUAGCUAUGUUCGGAAUAGAUAACCGCUGAAAGCAUCUAAGCGGGAAGCUAGCCUCAAGAUGAGAUCUCCCUGAGGGCUUGACCCUCCUAAAGGCUCGUCUAAGACUAAGACGUUGAUAGGUUGGAUGUGGAAGUGCAGUAAUGUAUGAAGCUAACCAAUACUAAUUCGCCGUGAGGCUUGGUCAUAUAACCCCAAGGGGUUU